CAAAAUGGAGCUUCACUUAUGUUAACAUAAAUCCAGUGCUCUAACAAGAAGCAGAAAAGCUGAUAAAGUGGAAGUUAUCUUCUGUGCUCAGUGUCCAGAAUUUGGUGUGUUUGUCCUGCAAGAAUUUGUGACAGCAACAAAUAUCUUCAAGAUAAAGCAGUGAAAGCAGUGAGUCAGGUGGGAAAGAUGCCAAACUCGUCUAUCUCCUGUGCUCAGCUAGAGCAAGCCAAGGAUCUCCAGUUACUGUCAGUCUGUUUUCACUCUUUUUCAUGAGCCUUCACUUGAUAAAAUCGGACUUGGACCCUGAUGAUAGCAUGUGAAAUUGUUUGUUGUGGAUGUCCAUGGAUAAAUAUGACAAUGGU
rnacentral:lncRNA from 1 species